GGGGUCCACGUGUCCAGGAUCCAGUCUCUGAGUCUGGACAGUCUGGGGACGUCGGACCUGCUGUUGGCGAGGAACGUUGGAAACUCUGGCUUUAAUGAAAUCCUGGAGGCCAACCUGCUGAGUCCAUCUCUGAAACCCUCCCAACACAGUCACAUGUUGGAGCGUAAAGACUUCAUCCUGUCCAAGUAUCAGAACGUUCAG